ACUGUCACAAAGGACUGUUUUCGUGGUGGGGGAGCCCCAAAUAUCUACUGGGGCAAGGCUUUAUAGAAAGCUACAAGCAAGAUAUCCAAUGGGUGACGGGACAGCGAUGAAAAUGUGUGGCUUCUCUGUCUUCAGCCUGCGUCUGUCUUAACCACCAGGCCAGGAUCUACUCAAUUCCACACGCAGACACGUUGACAAUCAAGAAUUUUUUCAUAUACUGUGAACUUGACCUAGCUUCUCUACUCCUUAUUCCAAUGCUAAAGAUACCUACCUGCAGCCGUGACUAGAGCGAGAAGGCCGCGAAAAGUGGUAGCAACCUAGUUCCUGGUUACUACUGCCAGUCCCAGGGAAGACCCGGAAGUCCCUCCCCUUUCUUAGCCCAUCUCUAUCCCUCAGGAUUCCUAUGCGCUAUCUGAACCGCCUCAACUCUCUUCUGUUCCUGAAGUUAGUUCAGGAGCAGAAGGUCCGCACCUCUGUUGUUGGGUCACUGGACAUAGCUCCUGUACCUGGACUCCCGGCAUAAGGACUUUGUUAGUCUUGGGUCUCUUAGACUUUUACAUGGAUGCUGCAGCUGCGUCUGUCGUUUCUUUUGCUGAGGAGAUGGCUAGGGCCAAGUUCACAGUGGAGACUGACCACCACAUGUGAGUUUAUUUUGCCUCACCAGUUCAGGUCACAGUUCACGGUGGCCCCAUGGUGUCCACAGUCAGGAAGCAAAGAGAGAUGGAUGCUUGUGCUCAACCCAACCUCUCCUUUUUAUCCAGCCUUGGAUCACAGCCCACUUCAUGAUGGAGCAACACUGGGUCAUCACCCAAGUGCCAGGCACAUGCAGCCACCCAGUUUUGGACUUUCAGCUUCUAGGACUGUAUCCCAUGUAAGCCUCUUUAUAAAUUAUCCAGCCUCAAGUGCUCUGUUAUAGCAACAGUAACCAACUAAGACCCCAUAACUCCAGCAACUAAUACUUAAUGAAUAAUUGCUGACUUAAUCUCUCAUCACUUGUAUUCUAUAAAGUUCUUUGUACAAUCAUUCCUUAUGGCAGAAUUAUCUUCUUCCACAUUUGUGCUCCCACCAUACUUUGGGGAAAGUGGUGUAUAGUAAGUAUUAAACUUACUCAUUUACAAUGCAGC
rnacentral:lncRNA from 1 species